AGCAAUACACACUCUACACCAGUUGGUGGCGGAAAAACACUGUUUUGCUGUUUGUCAACCGAGUAAAAUCACAAGAAGAAGAGGAUUUGUUUUGGCUGGACGGAGGUGAACAUGGCUGAUGUGUCGGAGAGGACGUUACAGGUCGCGAUAGUCGUCUCGUUUGCGGCUGGUUUUGUCGCCGGUUGGCAGGCAAACAGGAUGCGAAGAAAGUUCUUGGACUGGCGGAAAAAGAGGUUGCAGGACAAACUCGCGGAAACACAGAAGAAGCUUGACCUGUCGUGACAGAUACAAGUUAUCACGUAACCGACCUGUGCCAUGUGGUCUUCAAUGCUGUGAUUUCAUGAGCAGAAUCAAGUGAAUGAACGAGGAUCAAGCUGUCAAGUCUUUGGAUCAAGUCACAAGCUACAGCAAGGAACACACCUGUCAAAGACUUUAAACACUGAGAAAAACAAUGUAUUUCUAAGAUUGUUUUGUUUAAUGUUUGUGCAAGCCAUAUCCAUAAUGUUACCACAUCUGUGCUCUCUUCUUGUUUGUCGAAGUCGAAAUAAACUGAAAUAUUUUGAUAACA